GAUCCUGGCUUAGGAUGAACGCUAGCUACAGGCUUAACACAUGCAAGUCGAGGGGUAGCAGGGUAGCAAUACCGCCGACGACCGGCGCACGGGUGAGUAACACGUAUCCAACCUUCCCAUAACUCAGGGGAUGGACCUUUCGAAAGAAAGAUUAAUACCUGAUAGUACUUUUUCAAGGCAUCUUGAAAAAAGUUAAAGAUUUAUUGGUUAUGGAUGGGGAUGCGUUCCAUUAGAUAGUUGGUGAGGUAACGGCUCACCAAGUCUUCGAUGGAUAGGGGUUCUGAGAGGAAGGUCCCCCACAUUGGUACUGAGACACGGACCAAACUCCUACGGGAGGCAGCAGUGAGGAAUAUUGGUCAAUGGGCGAGAGCCUGAACCAGCCAAGUAGCGUGAAAAGGAUGAAGGUCCUAUGGAUUGUAAACUUCUUUUAUAGUAGAAUAAAGUGAGCCACGUGUGGUUUUUUGUAUGUAUACUAUGAAUAAGGAUCGGCUAACUCCGUGCCAGCCGCGGC
rnacentral:rRNA from 1 species